GACGAACGCUGGCGGCGUGCUUAACACAUGCAAGUCGAACGGAAAGGCCCUGCUUUUGUGGGGUGCUCGAGUGGCGAACGGGUGAGUAACACGUGAGUAACCUGCCCUUGACUUUGGGAUAACUUCAGGAAACUGGGGCUAAUACCGGAUAGGAGCUCCUGCUGCAUGGUGGGGGUUGGAAAGUUUCGGUGGUUGGGGAUGGACUCGCGGCUUAUCAGCUUGUUGGUGGGGUAGUGGCUUACCAAGGCUUUGACGGGUAGCCGGCCUGAGAGGGUGACCGGCCACAUUGGGACUGAGAUACGGCCCAGACUCCUACGGGAGGCAGCAGUGGGGAAUAUUGCACAAUGGGCGGAAGCCUGAUGCAGCAACGCCGGGUGCGGGAUGACGGCCUUCGGGUUGUAAACCGCUUUCGCCUGUGACGAAGCGUGAGUGACGGUAAUGGGUAAAGAAGCACCGGCUAACUACGUG
rnacentral:rRNA from 1 species